rnacentral:rRNA from 1 species
CCUACGGGUGGCAGCAGUGAGGAAUAUUGGGCAAUGGACGCAAGUCUGAACCAGCCAUGCCGCGUGCAGGAAGACGGCUCUAUGAGUUGUAAACUGCGUUUGUACGAGGGUAAACUCAGAUACGCGUAUCUGUCUGAAAGUAUCGUACGAAUAAGGAUCGGCUAACUCCGUGCCAGCAGCCGCGGUAAUACGGGGGAUUCAAGCGUUAUCCGGAUUUAUUGGGUUGAAAGGGUGCGUAGGCGGUCGGAUAAGUUAGAGGUGAAAUCCCGAGGCUCAACUUCGGAAUUGCCUUUGAUACUGUUAGGCUAGAGAGUAGUUGCGGUAGGCGGAAUGUAUGGUGUAGCGGUGAAAUGCUUAGAGAUCAUACAGAACACCGAUUGCGAAGGCAGCUUACCAAGCUACUUCUGACGUUGAGGCACGAAAGCGUGGGGAGCAAACAGGAUUAGAUACCCUGGUAGUC